rnacentral:rRNA from 1 species
AGCGAACGCUGGCGGCAGGCCUAACACAUGCAAGUCGAACGAACUCUUCGGAGUUAGUGGCGGACGGGUGAGUAACACGUGGGAAGGUGCCUUUUGGUUCGGAAUAACUCAGGGAAACUUGUGCUAAUACCGAAGGUGCCCUUCGGGGGAAAGAUUUAUCGCCAUGAGAGCGGCCCGCGUCUGAUUAGCUAGUUGGUGAGGUAACGGCUCACCAAGGCGACGAUCAGUAGCUGGACGGAGAGGAUGACCAGCCACACUGGGACUGAGACACGGACCAGACUCCUACGGGAGGCAGCAGUGGGGAAUCUUGCGCAAUGGGCGAAAGCCUGACGCAGCCAUGCCGCGUGAAUGAUGAAGGUCUUAGGAUUGUAAAAUUCUUUCACCGGGGACGAUAAUGACGGUACCCGGAGAAGAAGCCCCGGCUAACUUCGUG